UAGAAUGAAGUUUCGGGUCCUCGAUCGACGACGAUUCGAUACGCUUCGCGCUUAAAAACGAUCUAUUAUCUCCAAAGUCUUAUUGUGUUUUCCAACUAACCAAAACUUGUCGCGCUUCUAGCGGCGCAUUCAAAUUUGGAAGCUUCUAUAUCGCGUUUAAGCGAUCUAGCCAAGCGACGUUGACAGAAAUCCGGCAUUUUAAAUUGCCGUGAAAAAUGAAAGGAUUUAAUGAUGGAGUUUCCAGAUGUAGAGAGAUAGUCAUUUUAAACCACAGUUAAACGAGUCUCUUGUGCCUUGUACCGCGACCAAACGUAUUUGUUCUUCUUGAUGAUGAGCUCGCGUCUGCUUAGGCGGCCGCCCAAAUAGAUUUCCCAAUGGAAGGCGCACCAAAGAUGCAUCUGACCAAAGCACUAGCACACAAGAGAACAAGCCGUAGAUAAUAGGUAAAGCAAGCCACUGUAUGUGAGAGUCACCAUCCCCCAGUACCGAAGGACACACACCAUCCUGAUCUUGAAAUAAACAUUAGUCUUAAGGUCACUAAAUAUCGUAAAUGUAACUCCUACACUAUGAC